rnacentral:lncRNA from 1 species
CUGUUAUUGUAGCAGUCACUACUACAACUUAUCUCUCGCCCCCACGAUGGCCGGUUCUACGUACCGGGGCGACCUGGAGCUCCAAACUCCAGCCAAGGGCCAUCACACCUCGGUUUCAAGAUGUCAGCAGAUCAAUCAAUCCAAUUAUCCCACUCAUCUUAACAGACGUGGCUCUGUUGUAAAAAAUGAGCUGCCCGCAAAACACCACUAUACUCUUCGAUUUAUGGAUGAAAUCCAAGGAGGUGGCAGCCUUUCUAGUACUUGAUUAUUGACCUGCUUACUCUUGUUUACCGCUA